rnacentral:lncRNA from 1 species
UUUUUUCUUUUGUUUUAUUUAAGAAAAGCAUAGUUUUACAUUCUUCUUCCUCCUCCUUUCCGAGCCUCCAUCCCCACCAUCAUUUCCUCACACCGACCAGAAAACUCCUUCACGCCACGAAAAUACUGUGAAAUUCAGCAACGACGACUACAGAUUAAAUGCCCACUUCAGUAGUUUUAAUGAAAAAUAAAAUAAAUUGCACCGUGAAAUUCAUUAGUUAAUUAAAUUGUGAGAAGAUGGCCUGAGACAGUCAAAAUAAACUGCACCGUGAAGCCGGAGAGAGAUAGCAGUGAUGGCGGCAGCUGCAGUCGCCUCUUGACGGUGGCGUUUUUGGCUCGAGCUUUGCGGCUUCUUUUUUGGAGAAAUUCUACCUUAAUUGCUGUCUUCUUCCUCUUGAGAUUCGUUCAAUAGAUUGGAUCUUGGAUUCUUUAGACGCCAUGUUUGAAUGCUUGGAAGUUUCUUUGAGAUUGAAGUAUUAGGAAUAUGAGAUUAACAAUACGAUCAUUUUGCUUCUCGGUUUAACUGGAGAAGAUAGUGUCCAUGACCGAUAUUGGUGGGAGGCAAUAGAACCGAUGGGGAAAUGCGGAGAAGACGAUGGAAUUGUUGGGGAAAUUUAUGUAUAAAAUAAAUUAUUUUUGUUUUCAAAACUUUUUUUUAACUAUUUGGGUCCAAAUGCCACCUGUCUCCCUCUUAUUUGUUAUUUUUGCUAAGUCAUUCAUGUGUGAAUUACACACACCUUAUUGUUUUUACUGGUUAUGAGUAAAGUGUUCAAUAGAUCCACUUUAUAUAAUAUUAAAGUGUUCAAUAGAAAAAACAUUAAGUUAAAGUGUUAAAAUGAAAACUGGAGCCACGUUUAAGGGGCCGUGCACCUAUUUGGCCUUUAUUUAAUGAGAAUGCUUUAUCAUUUGUUUGCGAUUUGGUGAGAUUUGCGAAAAGGAAGAAUUGGAAAGAUAAUAAAUAAAAAAUCAUAAUAAAGAAUUAAAUUAUAUAAAGUUGUAUUGGGUGGAUAUCCAUAUAUUACGCUUUCAAGAGUAACACCAAUCUCGACAACAAGAGUUCUCGUUUACGAAAGAGUAGUUGAAACGGCACAAGGGAACAUCAUACACUAAAAAUAUUAUUUAUGAAGCAAAAUUAUGUGAGAUAUAACUACAUGACAUAUUUCUACCUCAUAUAAUAAAAUCACAGUAACUACAAAUAAUAUCUAACUAACUUUAACUAAAUAGAUCGUAAACUUGGUUCAGACGAUUAUCUAAUCAUUUAUGAAUCUAAGUAUUACGUCAAUGUAAUAGCACUAACUUAUGUAAAUUGUCACGUUAGAUAUGCAUAUUUACGACCACAAGUUUUUAUUCUCCGUUAGCCUAUUCCAAGGAGACCACUUUAGCAAAAAUGCAGAAAGCUUCUAAUUUCACUCGCUUUUGACAAUUUUUAUCCUUCCCUCAAAUGACAAAUAUAAAUCGUUAACCCCAAAAAAGAUAAAAGAAUGGAGCAAUAUUGUACUAACCUUUCAGUCUCAAAUUGAAUGAUAUCUUCACCACUGAGACCAUUAAUCCCCAAAAAGAGGAUUAUUGGAGUAUUAUCAUAUACAUAUUGAAUUCUUGUUCUUUGUGUGAUAACAGUAGUUAGCGCCAAAGUAGGACUCGAUAAAACAGAAAAUAUAAUAGUACACCGUCCAUUCUUAAAUGGAACUUUUAUGCUGGAGCAAGAACUAGUAUAAAAGUCGAUCUAUUACAAUUAACGCGUAAUUCCUAUUUCAUUUUCUUCUAAUGU